rnacentral:tRNA from 4 species
GCUUUUUAAAGAUUUAUAUAUUAUAGUAGUAAUAAUACUACUAGAUGUUUUCUAUAGAAAAACAAAAUUUA